rnacentral:rRNA from 1 species
GACAGAGGGGGCGAGCGUUGUCCGGAGUCACUGGGCGUAAAGCGCGCGCAGGCGGCAACCUAAGUGUCGUGUGAAAGCCCCCGGCUCAACCGGGGGAGGCCAUGGCAAACUGGGUCGCUCGAGCUGCGGAGAGGCCCCUCGAAUUGCCGGUGUAGCGGUGAAAUGCGUAGAGAUCGGCAGGAAGACCAAGGGGGAAGCCAGGGGGCUGGCCGCAGGAUGACGUUGAGGCGCGACAGCGUGGGGAGCAAACCGG